AUGAUAAGCAAUUCAGGUCAAGAACUCCUGAAAAAUGAUGAACCAUUGCUCUGCCUUGUACUAAGUCAGCUCAUUAUUCUGCAGCUCAUUAUUACUGGGAUUUCUGUACUUACCUUGUUGCCACCGAAGUCAAGAACUGCAAUGACCCUGGCGCUAGGUUCUCCAGGCCCGCCGCCGCCCAGGAACCCGUCGGCGUCGACGCCUACUCCAUGGGAUCGUAAGCCACCGCUCUGCUUCUCGCCGCCGCCGCCACCGGACGCUCUCAUUCUCUCGCCGUCGGGAUUUGGACAGGGGAAAGGGGAAAAUAGGAGAGAGCUAGGGAUUUGGGCAGGGAUAAAGAAGACAAGUGAAGCAGGGACAGCGGGCGUGAUUUCCAGAAACGUUGAGGGGUUUUCUGCAAAAGGCCCAGUCCGACCAGGUGUGCCACGCAGCAGCCAGCUAGGCGCCAAUUGUCUGUCUCCGAUUGGCUGUGGACUAAACCAUUACAUAGUUUGCAAGUUUAUGAAUGACUUGAUCACCUUUUGCAAGUUUGUGGACUAA
rnacentral:rRNA from 1 species